rnacentral:rRNA from 1 species
GUGGGGAAUCUUGCGCAAUGGGCGAAAGCCUGACGCAGCCAUGCCGCGUGAAUGAUGAAGGUCUUAGGAUUGUAAAAUUCUUUCACCGGGGACGAUAAUGACGGUACCCGGAGAAGAAGCCCCGGCUAACUUCGUGCCAGCAGCCGCGGUAAUACGAAGGGGGCUAGCGUUGCUCGGAAUUACUGGGCGUAAAGGGCGCGUAGGCGGACAGUUUAGUCAGAGGUGAAAGCCCAGGGCUCAACCUUGGAAUUGCCUUUGAUACUGGCUGUCUUGAGUUCGGGAGAGGUGAGUGGAAUGCCGAGUGUAGAGGUGAAAUUCGUAGAUAUUCGGCGGAACACCAGUGGCGAAGGCGACUCACUGGCCCGAUACUGACGCUGAGGCGCGAAAGCGUGGGGAGCAAACAGGAUUAGAAACCCCUGUAGUCC